CAAAAUUCGCGGCAAACUUAUCGAAAGAUGAGGACGCAAAACUAUGGGUCUAAGGACAGAUUAGUCUACGACUGCCAAGUUGCUGAU
rnacentral:ncRNA from 1 species